GGCUCUGAGGGGCCGGGAACGUGAGGGGCUCUGAAGGGCCAGGGCCGCCGGCAGCCCCGGCUGUGGCACCCCCGGCACAGCGGCCACCCUGGGGGCGGCGAUGAGGAGCUAGAGGGAGCGUAGUUCACCCCUGAUGGCGAAUGCGGCUGGUGCUGGAGACGAGUCGGGAUCUCACCGCCAUGUUCCCUCCGCGGUAGAUACGCCGCGUACAUACGCUUUCGAGGCUGAAUUUUUUAAAAUCCUGCUUACAUAUACGCGCAAAUUACUGUAAUCUAUUAAAGACUCCCAAGGGCACCUCUCUUCAAGAACAGUCCACAGUUUGGAAUUAACCCAGGAGAGAAAAAAGCACAUAACUCAGGGAGAAGGAUAUGAAAUGCUCUUCAUCUGAGAAUCCUGUUCCAGGCAGGUCCAUGUCCUUAUGCUGAGGACCCCAGAGCUGGAUGCAGCACCCCAGAUGGCAUUUCAGAAGAACAAAACAGGAGCCUUAAUCCAGUGGAGAAUACAACAUGUGGCUAAAGAAGUUGGGAGUCCCUUGUCAGUGGUUUUCUAGUGCCUGGCAUGUGGAUAUUUUUUAUCAUACAUUUGAAUAAUUUAAUGAAUGCCAGAUUCACGUUGGAGCGUGAAGAGACAAAAUACAAACUCAUAGCUUCUAGCAAUGUCCUAGUCUGUGUUUGCAGAGGUGUGUUUCCGUGGUUUUGAAAUUCUGAAAGGAAGCUCAUAAAAACUGUCAGACAGGAUUCCAUUGCAGAUUUUAUAUCGGGAAGCCUCUUAAAAUUUAAUUUGGGUGAUCUGGAUAGAAUUUAAUCAUCUGGAAAAAAUAAUAGUUUUAAAAAUGCCAAUAAAACAGUUUAAAAAUGCCAAUAAAUAUUAUCUGUUAGUGUGUCAAAUACUUCUACCGCCAGUCAUCACAAAACACAAAGACAAUUAUCUAUGAUAUUGCCUUAAAAUGUACCCACUCAGAAUAA